UACGGGGGGAGCAAGCGUUGUUCGGAUUUACUGGGCGUAAAGGGCGCGUAGGCGGCCUGUGCAAGUCAGUUGUGAAAUCUCCGGGCUUAACUCGGAACGGUCAACUGAUACUGCUCGGCUAGAGUGCGGAAGGGGCAACUGGAAUUCUUGGUGUAGCGGUGAAAUGCGUAGAUAUCAAGAGGAACACCUGCGGCGAAGGCGGGUUGCUGGGCCGACACUGACGCUGAUGCGCGAAAGCUAGGGGAGCGAAUGGG
rnacentral:rRNA from 1 species